rnacentral:rRNA from 1 species
CAACUUUCAACAACGGAUCUCUUGGUUCUGGCAUCGAUGAAGAACGCAGCGAAAUGCGAUAAGUAGUGUGAAUUGCAGAAUUCAGUGAAUCAUCGAAUCUUUGAACGCACAUUGCACCUCUCGGUAUUCCGGGAGGUAUGCCUGUUCGAGCGU